rnacentral:tRNA from 1 species
ACGCUGGUGGUCCGCGGCGAGGACGGCUCCGUCCGGGCCGUCGUCGGCGGCGACGGCGAGCUGCCGGAGGGCCCGUUCCGCCCCGGGGCCGACGGCC